AAGUUCAUGUUAAGCCUUAAAUUAUCUCUUAGCGAGCGUUAAGCAUAUGCAGGGAGAGUGAGGCUCAGAGAGAGGGAGAGAGAGAGUGAGGGAGAGAGAGAGCGAGAGAGUUUAUCUUACCAGUUACCUGGUAAAGUGCACGGCUUUAACUUGAAGCAUUCUUCCGUGAAUUUGUAGGGCUUUUUCUGGCCAAUCUAAUAGCUCAGCUCCAACCAAUUGUUAGCAUUGCCAUAUAUGUACAACAUUUAUCCGAUGGCCUGAGCUUCCUGGUAAACGAUGGCUGACUAAUAAGCAGUUGAGCAAAUGCAAUUAACUUGGGCAACAUGCUAAAUUAUUAUAAAGAAACAACAGAGAAAACUUAAUAAUCGAAUUGGCAACUCGAACAGAAAUGUGAGACAAAACGCGCCCAAAAUAGGUAAACACUUGGCUACAACUUGGCUAAAUAUGUGCCUGCCAUAAUCUGAGUGAGAUCUGGGCAGAUCGGCCGCUCGGCCGCUCGGCCGCCGUGCGGUUAGGAAUGGGGGAGUGGGAGAUAAUCGUGCCAAUUGCCGGGUCUCGUCUAUUUGGCUAUUUGUCCAGUUUUGGGCACAGAUCGCUGAGGCAAAAGCAAAAGCAAAAGCAAAAGCAUUUCAAUGCUUGCCAAGUCAAAUACGAGCAUAUGUAAAUAUUAAUUUUAUUAAACAAACGUGACGCGAACUCUUUUUUAAACGUUGACACGACAAUUGCAACCCACACACACACACACACAGACACACAUUAACACAAACACACACGCUACUUAGAUUAAACAGUGCGCGCUUUUCAUAUUUGGCUUUUCAAUUCACAAUAUUUAUGCCAUGCAAAACUGUUGUUUAUUGUAACUGUUAUAGGCGACACACACACAUAUACGCAUACACGCAGAGUCAGUGUGACAUCGUACCGGCCUAUGGCUACGUGCAGUCCAUCAAUGAGACGCAUCCAAAUGCGUGGGAAACGGCGCCGGCCUUGCUUUGAAGUUUAGCUUGAAAGGCGAUUUUGUUUUUGCGGAAUUUCAAAGGCAACAGCAACUGUGCACACUCAUCGCACACACACACACACACACACACACAGGCGCACUCACAUAAAUUGCACGGAUGCGGGCUAGUGAAAGCUGCUGACAAGUGUGACCCUGCCUAGCGCAUUGCGCAUUUGACGUUCGUAUGCACGCUCACGCACUCACGCACGCAAGCGCACGACCGAUGUAUGCAUGUAUGUAUGUGCAUGCAGUGUGACCCUGCUAUGUGCAAGCAAUUAAAACCAAAACAAAUCGGAAAACGAACAAUCAAAACAAAAGCGCGCUAGAACGUUCGCGGCAAAUAAGGCUAAAUAACAUAAUUAUAGCAAUUAAUGAAGCCGUAUAUACAUACAUACAUACAUAUAUAAAUAUAUAUGUACAUGCGCAUGUGUGAUUAACUAAUAUAUCUAAUAAUAAUUGGUGUGUUGCAAUAUCUGUGAAAUUCUUAGUUGUCAAUGCCAAAUGUAACAGACGAAAGCCAAUAUACAGUGCGCCAAUUAAGUCUUCGUACAGCAACAAUUCGUUUCUUGGGGAGCCCAUAAAGCGGAUACAUACAUAGAUCCAAGUCAACAUGCCCGUUUACCCAUGGAUCUAUGUACAUACAUAUGUCAAUAUACCCGCUUACACAUGGCGCACAGUGUAUUCUGAAUCAUCGGCAACAACAAUUGGCGCAUUUCGUAGGCGACGCUCAACGACUUUUGGACUUCCUUUUUUGUGGGGCGGCCGCCACAUGAUUGUCGCCAUUGAGACUGCACGACAACGGCAACGGCAACGUGACGCAUGAGCAUGGGGCAGCAAUAAAGGCGGCAACAACAACAACAACAAAAGUAGCAGCAGCAGCAACAGCAGCAACAAUAACAACUGCAACUGCAUCACGCUGACAGCUAGUUGUAGGGGGUGACGCUCUUUAACCUUUAGAAAUCGCCUCCACUCCACUCCACCCCAUCCACCACCUCUCCCAGAGGCAUUGCGCCUUUGCAUUGGUUUUGGUCUAUUUUGGACUCGGCGACAAAUAUAGAGCGCAAUCCCUAAGACGAAUGACCGUUAAUGGAGACAUUUGUGUGGCUGCCAUGCCAGAGUGGAGGGGGGUUGAGGCUUCAGCUAUUUAUAGCUCCCACACACUCACACACAUACGUGCAGCUAGCGACGAUCUUGAUCUUAGGCAGCGGCACAUGCCACAAGCAGCGAUUCCGCUCUAUAACAAUGGCCCACAGUGAACAAUGGCUAAAACGAAUAAAAAACAACAACAACAACAACAGCAACAACAACAAAACGCCAAAACAAAAGCGAAUUUUCAGUGGCACAGAGGCGGCCACUUACAAGAACUUUAACACGCCAGAGUUCAAAUUAGUCAGCAGACACUCCAUAAAUCAGACAACGGAAAACAAUCAUAAAGAGCCGCUGCUGCUGCUCUCUGGACCUGAGUGGACCAAUAGCCAGGCAGGCAGCCAGCCAGGCAGCCAGGCAGCCAGCUGGCUUCAGCAACUGGACAAGCGGGUUGCGUUUGGCCGCCCGCUGCUUGAGAGUGCUCUGGGUCGAGGCAUUAGCAUACAAUUUGUGUGGCAACUUGUUGUUGUCGUGCCAUUGACAGCAAUAAAUAAUAAAAUUGCAUUGCAAUGCACUUUGCCAGGCGGAUAAAUUGCCAGCCACUAAAUCGCCAAAGCAAUGAAUCAGACUAACUUCGGCUGUGGAUAGGAUCGAUGGGAAGAAAAGCAAAUAUAAGAAUGAGACGAAGACUCUUUGAGCGUUUUUCCCAUUUACUUUGCAAUGAUGAUUGCCAAGCGGAUUUAUUUUGCAAUCAACUGUGAUGUUUGCCAGGCAGAUAAAUGCCUAAGAAGAUGCAGCGAACAAAAAGAAGAAGGGUAGAAUGGCAGAAUGAUAGUUCCUCAAUUACUUGACUUCGCAUUUUACUUAUUUACAACUUCAGAGUCGACUAUAUUCCAGAAUCACUUUGCAAGGCACUUUGUCAGGCGGAUAAAAGGCGGCUAUGGUAAGCAAUGUAAGAUACGAAAUUUGGUCACACGUCUCAUGUAACUUACGUAGCAUACGCGAGUCUUGUAAGCCAUGUUUAUAGGGUGGCAUGGACAUAAGAAAUAAUACGAAAUAAAUAAAAAAUAGUUGCCAUGCUUUAGCGACUGUUUGCUGCUGUUGCUCAGUGUCGUACAAAUUGCACCGUUAAUAAAGUCAAAAUCGGAUUGGACAUGCCUCGGCCGACGCCUGGCCCCAACUGGAGUCCAAGUGGAGCUCAGCUGCGCGCCCGUUGCGAAGCAGUUGGUCCAUUCCGUGCACAGAUGCAGUUGGAUAUUUGAUCUGUUGAC